GCCUACUAUGACGUAACCUUGAAGCCACUGGAUGAGGUCUGGAAAGAGAAGACAGAAGAGUACAUGAAGAAAAUCCAGGCUUUUUUACCCAAUAUUGUAAAGGAUGCAUGGCUCAUGGAACCAAUCCAGCUGGCAUUAAAGGUUGUGAAAGCAGCCUUGGAUACGACCACACAGCAGAUGUUCAGGUGGGCAGAGGCCACGUUUUCCAGAGCUGUGAGGAAGAUCCGGAAGCCCUUGCUCAACCUGUACAGUUUUUCAGCCAGGAACUGUUCCGUGGCAGUAAAACUGCCAGUACUGCCCAAAGGAGACCACUCCCUACAGCUGGCAAAUGUUCCUACUUAUCUCGUUGGAGAGAAAAUAAUGAGGCCUCUGCAAGACCUCUACAAAAUCAACAUCCUUGCGGAGUAUUAUAGAUUCAAACGGAGGAUGGUGGAGAGUCCCUUUGAAUAUCAUGCUCUGUUAGUGGGAACCAAACAUCUUGUGACUUUUGAUGGAAAAAUUUAUGAUUUGGCAUCAAAGUGCAGUGUACUUCUUGCCAAGGAUUUUGUCCACAAUGCUUUCACUGUAAUACUAAGUGAGGAAACCAGUAACUCAAGAUCACUGUAUGUGGAGAUGAACCAGACUGUGAUCAGUAUCCACCCAAGACUGAAGAUCUCCAAGAUGUUCUCCUUUACGGAAGAGAGCUGCCAAGUACUGGAUAAAUCACUUGAAAAGAAUACCACUAAUUCAAGGAGAGAAACCAACAAAAUAGAAAUAUCUAAUCAGAAAGGAGUUUCUCUAUCCUGUGACUUUCAGUAUGAUCUCUGUACUGUCACUCUGGCUGGGUGGCACCACGGUAUCUCAGCUGGGCUUUUUGGUACCAAUGAUAAUGAAGCUGGAAAUGAAUGGAUGCUUCCUAAUGGUUCCUUCACUGACAACGUGCAAGAGUUCACACAGAGCUGGCAGGUGAACAAGUGCAGUCUUGUACCGAAGAAAGAGAAGUCAUGUCCAAUUACAGGCAAUCAAAACAUCUGCAAAGUGUUUUUUGAAGAACCACAUUCACUUCUUAGGAACUGCUUCAAAAUUGUGGACCCCGAGCCCUUCUACACCAUGUGUACACAGGACACCUGCGAGUCCCCGGCCCCGGGGGCUGCCUGCAGCUCAGCAGCAGCUUUUGUUCAUCUGUGCAACCGGAAUUUUGUCCCUGUGGAAAUCCCUCCACAGUGCUUGAGCCUGUUCUGAAUGGCACAUACCAGCCCUGGAGAUGGAAGAACCCUUUCAGCACCCAAAAAUAGAAGUUAUUUUAGGUAGACAAGCUAGAGGCAGGAGCAGGAGAACAGUAGCAGUGCAAAUGCAUUAGUGUUAGACAAUGAAUAUAAUGAAGCACAUAUAGUAUAAAAGGAAAGCUUUCCACCAGAACCCCUGAGGGCAAGAGGAAUUAUUUCAGUAUACUGACAAGAAACUAUAAUCAACCAAAGGAAAUUGAAAGUAAUAGUAUCAAUUACUUUAAAAGAAUUCUCCCAUUCAGUGGCAAAAUUGUGUCUCCACAAGCCUUGAACCAUAGCAUAAAUACAUUUAAAUGCUGACAAAAGGUCUCUUCCAGCUCAGAUUAGUACAAGUGGAAUACUUUGUGAAAGCAGCAUUAUCAGCUUUGAGUCAGCAGAGAUGCUGACUUCUUUUUUCUCCAGAAAUGAAACUCUGCUGUUCAGCAGUUCUGGACAAAGUUAUCUUUUUUUUUUUUUUUCAAGGGAAGUGCUCCAACACAUGAGAGCUACAGUAGAAAUAAGAUGGUUAAAUAAUUGAAAGCACUUGAUAAUUUUCUCAUUUUUAUGCUGGCUGAUUUUUCCCUUACUAACGUGUACACUGUUAAAUGAGAAACACCCUUCUUGGUAUCUGUGUACCAGUUUCACGUUCUCCCUUUGUGCCUUUAGAAGCCCUUUCUCAGAAAUCAGCUGAUGUGUUUGGAAAGGGUGAUUGAUAUCUAUCCAACCCAUAAAGUAGCCUUAAGGUGCUAUAGCUGUUGUUGUGUGAAAACGUCUUAUCUGUUAAAUCCUUUUAUAUUUUAAGUCUAUUGAUUAAAGAAAUGCAUUACCUUUCUCCACCCAUACCUGGAAGGCAGCUAUUCCUCAGCAAAAGGUUAACACUGCAAAAUCCUUCCCAUGUCUUUACAUAACAUGCAAACGUUGAAAUAAUGGUGUUCUGAACUAGGAGAUAAUGCUAAUAAACAUUUGACUUCCUUAUUAUUAUGCUGGAGU
rnacentral:lncRNA from 1 species